CCCGGAAUCUCUCUAUUGCUCUAGUUGUCAUGUCAAAAAACUACUUAGACAGACUAUGAAGAGAUACAUAGGGUGAGAAACGGAGGCCUUCAGCCAACAGCUGGGAGAAGCUGAGUCCCAUCAGCCAUUCAAAAGACUGCAGCCCCAGCCAAGAGUUUGAUGUAACCUCAGGAGAGACCCUGAGCCAGAACCACCUAGGCCAACGAGCUAUACCUAGUGAUUCCAAAGUCCACAUAUAUUUACUCUGUUCUCACUGUACAAAGUAACCACUCUGAAGUCAAAAAAGCUGGGAUACAUGAAGACUGCCAUCCCUUGAGUCACUUGCCCUGUAGCUGCCACUGUUGGAAAAGGGCUUGCUUCUGUGUCCUUGUGCCCACUUUGAAAAUCCCUGGGAAGUCCUUGGAGUCAGAUGAGCAGGCCUCCGCCACUCUGCCAAAAAGUCUGUUCAAUCAGGAGUCCCCAACCCCUGAGCCAUGGACUGAUAUGGAGCUAUGGUCUGUUAGGAACUGGGCUGCCCAGGAGGAGCAAUGGUGCUUCUACAAUUUCCUUAUAGGAGGAGUGAAGAGUAAGCAUUUGGAUUGGACCAGGAUUUGGAGAACUUGUCAUGUUGCUCUACGUGCAUAUGAAAUACAUCAUUGUAACUUAGAAUGUGAAUUACAGAACAAACAUGAAAGUUAGAAAAAUAUUCUAAACAUAUUUUUAUGAUCUCUACUUGCAAUAAGGAAACUGUUAGGCUUUUCCAUCAAAGAAUAAGUGCAACAAAAACAAAAAUUUCUGGAUGGAAAAAAGGAGAUUUGAGGGGCAAGGCUAAAGCCCCCCAAACCUUCCUCAGGAUGAACACAAACCCCAUCUUUAUUUUCCUGUUGCCACUGUUCCAUGUUGCUGGGCUCUAUUCCAGCAAAAUUUUGGAAAGCGUUGCUACAGUUCUGCUCAUUUCUUUCUCACUUCAGAACAAUGAUGCCCUUUCCAGAUAAAGCAUCUUAAUUAAACAGAUGACAUUUGAACUAGACCUUGAAGAACAGGUCAGAGUUAUAUUGGGAAAGAAGUAGGAGAGGAACACCCAGAAAAUAACAUUUAUGAACAUAAAGGCACAGAAUAUAAAUGUCUCUGACAAAGACAGAAAUCAAGGGUAAAUUUUAGUGUGGCAUAGAUUAAUUCACUAACUCAAUAUAUAUAUAUUUACAUAGAGAGCAUGGAUAGAUACUAGAAAUAAAACAAUGGAUUAGACAUGGGCAACCUCAUGAUGUUUAGCAAAUAUUGUGUUCUUUAAGGCAGCAGUUCCCAACCUUUUUGGUACUAGGGACCGGUUACGUGGAAGACAAUUUUUCCACAGACUGGGAUGGGGGGACUGUUUUCAAGACAAUUCAAGCACGUUACAUUUAUGGUGCACUUUAUUUCUAUUAUUACUGCAUUGUAAUACAUAAUGAAAUAAGUACACAACUCACCAUAAUGUGGCAUCAUUGGAAGCCCUGAGCGUGCUUUCCUGCAACUAGACAGUUCCCUCUGGGGCCAAUGGGAAACAAUGACAGAUCAUCAGGCAUUAGAUUCUCAUGAGGAGCCCGCAACCUACAUCCCUCACAUGCACAGUCCACAAUAGGAUUCAUGCGCCUAUGAGAAUCUAGUGUCAUGGCUGGCAGAUAUAACAGAAGAUGGAGUUCAGGCGAUAAUGUGAGUAAGAGGGAGCGGCCAGAAAUACAGAUGAAACUUCACUCACUCACUUGCCACUCACCUCCUGGUCUGCGUCCUGGUUCCUAACGGGCCAUGGAUAGUUACAAGUCUGUGGCCCAGGGGGUUGAAGACCCCUGCCCUAGAGUACAUAUGCAGUGGAUGUUGAGAAACAGAUUAAUUCAUUAAUGCAGAGUCUUCAUAUUCCAAACAAAAGAUUUGAGGGUUUUAUCUGUUAUAACAACACUUGUGUUUCACUAAUUAUGUCAGGCACGACUCUAAUAACUUCAAAUUUAUUCACUCACCUAUUAUUAGAACAACAUUAUGAUAUAGGAAUACACUUGAUAUGUCCAUUAUACUGAUGAGGAGAUUCAGACAUAGAGUAGUUAUUUAACUUGGGUAAGGUCUUCAGAGCUAAUAAGAGGAAGAACCAGGACUUGAGCAUGGGUAGGGUGGCUUCAGAGUGGUAGUCUGGCUGUUUGUUUGUAAUCACCAAAAUGAAGCUACAGUGAUGUUUCAGUUUACAUAACAGAGUCCUGAGGCUUAAAGAUGCCAGGAAAUUAAUUUAAAGAUAUUGUAGUACGUAUCCCUGUCCAGACUAGAACUCCAGUCCAGGAGAACGCCAGUGCUCCUUCUGUUUCACAUAGAGAACACAUCAGUACUGUGACACACAGAAAGGUUUUAGUGGGAUGCUUGGUUAAGAGAAAUACGUUUACAACAAAAGAGGUGAUACUGUUGCUUGUCUUAGAAAAAUAUGGGAGACCUCAAUCAGCUGAAGUUCAACAUGUUCAAAGGUGGACAAAGUUUCUCGUUGCUCUAAGUAAGUUUAAAAUUGAGCCAAAAAGGUCUUGAUUGAUAAGGGUGGCUGAUACAUUUUUGAAUGUUUUCACUGGCAUGAUUCACAAAAUUGUAUAAAUUGUAUAGUCCCAGGCUAUCCCACCAUUAACUGCCUCAUGGGGACUGUCUCUAACUUCCCCAGGACUUGAUCCAUAGGGAAAUGCUUGCAAGAAUAAAAAGCAUUAAUGAAUUCAGGAUUCGUUUCUCACUAAACAGCAGUUUGGGGUGAUGUCACACACACACACACACACACACACACACAAAAAUGGAACAAGCCAGCCCCAUUUUCAGCAUUGCCUCAUUUAAGCUUGGCACACAAAGACAAUUGAUGCUGACUCAGAGUUAUUUCAAGAUGGAAAGAGUGUCCUGAAUUAUCACACCCCACGUAAUCCUAGCCACCCUGUAUUCCUUCUCCUUACUGUCCCAUAGGUGGGUACAUCCAUCCCAGAUAACAAGGUUUGACUCAUUUAAGGCCCUUUUCCUUCUGCACAAGAUCCUGAAAUUUUCCCUACCGUGUGUGUUUGAUGGUGCAGAAGAAAUAAUUCUCAAAAAUAAACUAGUUUAUCAUUAGAUGGAAGCAAGGUAUCACCUUUAUUAAUGAGAAAGCAGAGUUUGAAGGACAUAGUGCAUUCCUCAUGCAGCUAGACCCUCUGCUAUUGGCUCCUGCCUUUAAAUUAGAAAGCCUUACUUUUCCAUCUGCAGGUAUUGCUAUCCCUUUACAAGCCUCUGCUCCCACGGAAAGAAAAUUGUGCAACAUACGACAAAAAGCAAUAGAGGCUUCAGACUCUCCAAAAAGAAAAAGAAAUUAUGUCAAGAAUGUAGUUUAUUAUUUCCCAAUUGACUCUAAGAUUAAAUUGACUCUAAGAUUAGUCAGUAACUUUUCCAUGAUGUAAUGAGUAAUGAGACAGAGAGAAGCAGAGUGUUCCACUAAUUGAUCUCAAUCCACAAGAAAGGAAAAGUAUUUCCUCCUUCCUUCCUCCACAUUGUGUUCUCUUAGAACUGUGCUUUACUUGCCCAGGGAAAAGAACACAAGUUGAGUUUAAGAAGCCAGUUCUUCCCAUUCCAAGAUGAGGCCCCACAUCCAAUGCUAACACUACUUCUUGGAGUGAAUACACUUUAGAACUAUCAAUGAAUGAACUGAGCUGAACUUCCCCAACCCCUGUAGACUCUAAAAUGGGUCAGAAGAGCACAUUGGUUAAAACAAGUCUAAGGCUGAAAAUUUAAUCUCUAUUUGAUUUUCUGGCUUACAUUUUUUUUCUCAGUAACCUUGCCAAAAUAGCCUAGUAGGAGAUCCAUUUUGAACUUGAGUGAUAACAUAAUUAUACUCGAAUCACAAAAUGUCAAUAAUGAGAUGACCCACAUUUAAAUAACAUAUUUUUUUGCUACUAUAACAUUACUGGGCCUAUAUUAAAAUAGAAAGAUUAAAUUAUUUUGCAACUUACUUAAAGUAUAAAUAUAAUGCUUCCAAAGAAUUAAGGGCCAAAUCAUUUUUUUUCCUGAUACUUGUGAGGUAAAAUUUAACAGAUUUUAAAGUCCCCACUCAUUUAAUUUUUUGGCCACUUGGUGUCAGCUGGAAGAGUUCUCAAUACAUUGGACAAGACAGUGAUCUCUAAGCAUUUGAAAAUUGAGCUCUUUCUCAUUGGAAGGGGUGUAUUUUCUUCUUCAUGGUCUCAGAGGUUGUAUUUGUUUAACACUGAGUCUCUGAAGUUCUUCACUAUUUAAAAAAUUCCAAGAAGUUACUGUUAAAGAAAAGAUUAUCAUAGCAAUGGCAUUUAUUCUGAGAACUGGAUAAACAGCAAUCCAUCACGGCUUCUAGAAGAGUUUUCACAGAGAAAAAUAUUUUCAACCUGAUCAUUUGUAUUGCCAAAGACUGCGGCAGAAACUUAGUAUUGUGCUAAAAGAAGAUGGAUAUCUUGGUGGAGACCUUGCUGGCAUAUCAUUCAGUUCAUGCUAUUUUUAAAAAAUCUAAUAAUUGAAAUUUUAACUCAGUUGGAAAACUUUCUCACCAAGAUAUUCAUUCUGGAAUUUUUUACUAUAUCAAUAAAAUUUACUUAUAACUACUGCCUGAUAAGUCAGAAUGGAUUUGCUUGCUUUUCCACUCAUAACAUUCAAAAGCUCCUGGCUUCCAUGUCUGCUGAAUGGGGAUUCUACAAAGUAAAUGGAGUUCCCCACACUUUCUUAUGAUAAAGAAUUUUUCAGUUCUGAAAUACUAAGGCUGCUUCUCCUUCAUUUAAUUUAUCUUUCAAAUUUUUAAGACAUAUAAAAAUAUCCCUUCUUUGAGAGGGUUUCCCCUCUUAUAAGUAAUUAAGAGAUACAGAAUUAAUUUAUCACAAGAUAGUGUUGAUAGCAGGAGGGUGAGUUAGUUGAUACUUGACCCCAUGGAAAAGCUGGUUGAUAUGGUUGACUGUGUUCCCACCCAAAUCUCAUCUUGAAUUGUAUUCCCCAUAAUUCUCACAUAUUGAGGGAUGGACCUGGUGGGAGGCGACUGGAUUAUAGGAGCAGUUUCCCCCAUGCUGUUCUCGUGAUAGUGAGUUCUC
rnacentral:lncRNA from 1 species